GUGCUUGCUUCGGCAGCACAUAUACCAAAAUUGGAACAAUACAGAGUAGAUUAGCAUGGCCCCUGCACAGAGAUGACAUGCAAAUUAAUGAAGUGUUCCAUAUUUCU